UGGGGAAUUUUGGACAAUGGGCGAAAGCCUGAUCCAGCAAUGCCGCGUGUGUGAAGAAGGCCUUCGGGUUGUAAAGCACUUUUGUCCGGAAAGAAAUCCUUGGCUCUAAUACAGUCGGGGGAUGACGGUACCGGAAGAAUAAGCACCGGCUAACUACGUGCCAGCAGCCGCGGUAAUACGUAGGGUGCAAGCGUUAAUCGGAAUUACUGGGCGUAAAGCGUGCGCAGGCGGUUUGCUAAGACCGAUGUGAAAUCCCCGGGCUCAACCUGGGAACUGCAUUGGUGACUGGCAGGCUAGAGUAUGGCAGAGGGGGGUAGAAUUCCACGUGUAGCAGUGAAAUGCGUAGAGAUGUGAGGAAUACCGAUGGCGAAGGCAGCCCCCUGGGCCAAUACUGACGCUCAUGCACGAAA
rnacentral:rRNA from 1 species